GACGCUCACUCGCCUUACAGUGGAGACCAUGAACGUUUAAGCCAGACCAUCUUUCGUCCCAGUGUGCGACUUCUCACUCAUCAUUCUAGUUCACCUCCAUGUGUGCCACAACGCAGUUCACAUUACAAAAAGCAACGCUGUUCUGUCAAGGAAUUCGAUAGGAGAAGGACCGGUCUACUGAUGGCCACUGAGUCCCCUCAGCAAUUAGAAUCACCGCAGGGGGUCCCCACAUGUCGCAAGGCCCAGGGGAAGAAAAAGUAAAUAUGUAUGUGAUAUGAUGUGGUCUGGAGGCUGCCUGUAGUACUGUGUGACUGAAGGAAGUGGAGACGUAAUGAAUACCUGCGGUGUGUUCUGCCUCGCUUCACCAAAACUGGUCUGUAUUAAGAGCGGUGGCGGGAAAAAAACGACCGAAUCUCCUUUUACAGCAGCGAAUAUCCAUCGGUGCGAGUCAAUACAGAUAACUGAGCAGAGGAUACAAUGCUAAUGUUGUCUUUUUUUUUUGGUUAUGGACUAGAAUCUUGUAAAGUGAUUGUACGAGUCUUGAUUACAAAUAAAAGCUGGAUUUGGCAGUUUAUCGACAA